GAUGAACGCUGGCGGCGUGCCUAAUACAUUCAAGUCGAGCGAACGGACGAGAAGCUUGCUUCUCUGAUGUUAGCGGCGGACGGGUGAGUAACACGUGGAUAACCUACCUAUAAGACUGGGAUAACUUCGGGAAACCGUAGCUAAUACCGGAUAAUAUUUUGAACCGCAUGGUUCAAAAGUGAAAGACGGUCUUGCUGUCACUUAUAGAUGGAUCCGCGCUGCAUUAGCUAGUUGGUAAGGUAACGGCUUACCAAGGCAACGAUGCAUAGCCGACCUGAGAGGGUGAUAGGCCACACUGGAACUGAGACACGGUCCAGACUCCUACGGGAGGCAGCAGUAGGGAAUCUGCCGCAAUGGGCGAAAGCAUGACGGAGCAACGCCGCGUGAGUGAUGAAGGUCUUCGGAUCGUAAAACUCUGUUAUUAGGGAAGAACAUAUGUGUAAGUAACUGUGCACAUCUUGACGGUACCUAAUCAGAAAGCCACGGCUAACUACGUG
rnacentral:rRNA from 1 species